CCUACCAGGUGUCCGUAGACGUCGGCAGGCUGGAGGUAGAAGGUGGAGUUGAGCAGCUCUUCCAGCUUGCGCGGGACGUCGUUCUCCCGAUGGAGAGUGUUGGCGUGUACGGAUUCUGUGGGUGUAAAGCAAAGAACAAAAUGAAGUGUGAUUCGAGGUGGGAAAUAACGGCUGCAGGCUGCAGCAACUACAGCACAAGGAGAUGGUCCCAUGACGGUGAUGGGACACCUGUGCCAGCUCGCCGACUCGAUGCUUCGGCGGGUCCUGCAGGGAUGAUGGCUCUCCUUUGCUGGGUCUGAGCAAAUUCACGUGUACAUUCAGUGGCUCUGUGAACCACGAUGACAGGAUUCACACAAGGGCAUCUGGGGAGGGAUGCUG